rnacentral:rRNA from 1 species
AAGAAGCUUCUCUGUUUUUAAAAGACCUAGUAAUAGUUAUGCUUAGGGAGGAGCUUGCCUCACAUAAGUUAGGUGGUGGGGUAAAGGCCUACCAAGACUAUGAUGUGUAGCCGGGCUGAGAGGUUGAACGGCCACAUUGGGACUGAGACACGGCCCAAACUCCUACGGGAGGCAGCGGUAGGGAAUUUUCGGCAAUGGAGGAAACUCUGACCGAGCAACGCCGCGUGAACGAUGAAGUAUUUCGGUACGUAAAGUUCUUUUAUUAGGGAAGAAUAAAUGAUGGAAAAAUCAUUCUGACGGUACCUAAUGAAUAAGCCCCGGCUAACUAUGUGCCAGCAGCCGCGGUAAUACAUAGGGGGCAAGCGUUAUCCGGAAUUAUUGGGCGUAAAGGGUGCGUAGGCGGUUAAAUAAGUUUAUGGUCUAAGUGCAAUGCUCAACAUUGUGAUGCUAUAAAAACUGUUUAGCUAGAGUAAGAUAGAGGCAAGUGGAAUUCCAUGUGUAGUGGUAAAAUGCGUAAAUAUAUGGAGGAACACCAGUAGCGAAGGCGGCUUGUUGGGUCUUUUACUGACGCUGAGGCACGAAAGCGUGGGGAGCAAACAGGAUUAGAUACCCUGGUAGUCCCACGCCGUAAACGAUGAGUACUAAACGUUGGGUAAAACCAGUGUUGAAGUUAACACAUUAAGUACUCCGCCUGAGUAGUACGUACGCAAGUAUGAAACUUAAAGGAAUUGACGGGACUCCGCACAAGCGGUGGAUCAUGUUGUUUAAUUCGAAGGUACCCGAAAAACCUCACCAGGUCUUGACAUGCUUCUGCAAAGCUGUAGAAACACAGUGGAGGUUAUCAGUUGUACAGGUGGUGCAUGGUUGUCGUCAGCUCGUGUCGUGAGAUGUUGGGUUAAGUCCCGCAACGAGCGCAACCCUUAUUGUUAGUUACCAGCACGUAAUGGUGGGGACUUUAGCAAGACUGCCAGUGAUAAAUUGGAGGAAGGUGGGGACGACGUCAAAUCAUCAUGCCCCUUAUGACCUGGGCUACAAACGUGAUACAAUGGCUGUUACAAAGGGUAGCUGAAGCGCAAGUUUUUGGCGAAUCUCAAAAAAACAGUCUCAGUUCGGAUUGAAGUCUGCAACUCGACUUCAUGAAGUUGGAAUCGCUAGUAAUCGC